UCACCUUGGUAUCAAAAUUUGCG
rnacentral:miRNA from 1 species